rnacentral:rRNA from 2 species
UAUUGGUCAAUAGCCUAACGGCUGAACCAGCAACUUGGAGGAAUGUACAGGGAAAACUGGUAAAAUGUGAUGUACCUGAUAGUAUUAGUGAUUAAUAUGAAAUUAACUAAGUUAAUUAAAAUUCAAAGUAGAUAUGUGAUUAUGACAAUAUUUGCUUAUUUCUUGACCAAGUCACGUGCCAGCAGUCGCGGUAAUACGUGGAAGAUAAGUGUUAUUCAUCUUUAAUAGGUUUAAAGGGUACCUAGACGGUUAAUUAAGCAUUGUACUAAUUAUUAACUAGAGUUUAAUGUAAGAAGGAUUGAGUACGGUGAGUGAAGAGAUAAAAUUCUGUCAUACCACUUAGGAACUGGUAAAGGCGAAGGCAACCUUUUAUGUAAAAACUGACGUUGAGGGACGAAGGCUCGUAUUAAGUAAUAGGAUUAGAGACCCUAGUAUUGUGGGCAGACAAUGAUGAGUGUCAUAUGCAAGUUUUGUGUAUAAAUGAAAGUGUAAGCAUUCCACCUCAAGAGUAACAUGGCAACAUGGGAACUGAAAUCAUUAGACCGUUUCUGAAACUCGUAGUGAAGUAUGUUGUUUAAUUUGAUAAUCCUCAAAUAACCUUACCACAAUUUGUAUUACUAGUACAAGCGUUGCACGGCUGUCUUCAGUCAAUGUUGUGAAACUUUGGUUAGAUCCAUUAAAUUGACGUAAACCCUUGCUUUAUUUGUUAUAGAGCAGUUCGCCGCUAUAUUGGUAAUGAUAUAAGGGACCAAGACAAGUCAUCAUGACCUGAACAUUGUGGGCUGUAGACGUGCCACU